rnacentral:rRNA from 1 species
UACGAAGGGGGCGAGCGUUGUUCGGAAUUACUGGGCGUAAAGGGCGCGUAGGCGGAUCUUUAAGUCAGGGGUGAAAUCCCGAGGCUCAACCUCGGAACUGCCUUUGAUACUGGGGAUCUCGAGUCCGGGAGAGGUGAGUGGAACUGCGAGUGUAGAGGUGAAAUUCGUAGAUAUUCGCAAGAACACCAGUGGCGAAGGCGGCUCACUGGCCCGGAACUGACGCUGAGGUGCGAAAGCGUGGGGAGCAAACAGG